ACGCUCCUAUUUUCCCUUUUAACGCUUCGUAUUCUUCUUCAUUCUCUCAAAAGCUUUCUCCCUUCCGAUACAUCAUCUCCUUCAUCUCCCUGGCCAAACUCGAGCCCUACUACCAAAUUCUAUGUUUGCCUCAGGCCCUCAGAUUCCGACUCAACUUUUUCGCUCUCACAACCGCAAUAGUGGAGACGACACCGAGCUUUCGCUUCCUUCUCCUCCGUGACUCUCAACUCCGCAGAUACCAAUCGGAAUUCUGAUCAGAUUCCGGAUACCAACCAGGAUGGUAAUAUUCAAUAUCCACAUGCCCUGAAUUCACCGGCAACGCCUCCUCCAUUAUUGCUCCACCGCUUGCUUCUCUGUCUGCACCGACCAUGAUCUGUAAUUGUCGCAGACUGAUCAUGAACGAGGAAGCUCUUGCUGAAGGAGGAGCCAGUGGUGCAAGCCAGUCCCUUUACAAAGCAAGGUGAUCUCCGGGAAACUCUCCAGUGGGAGUGGCUACUUCAAAGGUAUAGCUAUCGCUGCAAUUCUGGCAGCUGCAGGUGCUGCUGCUCUGUCUGCCAACCCGGAUGCUAUAGACGAGCUGCUGAAGAGCCAGGUGGAAUCGUUGGACCUCAGCAAAUUGACUGAGUCAGUAAUGACAGCUUUUAAGAACUAAAGAUGAAAACACGUGGGGCGACGAUAAUCAAAGAGAAAGAUUUUCUGUGUUUCUGGGGAGCACGCACUGUCAAGAAAAGAAGAGAGCUCAUCGGAUUCAAACAUGCUGAUGUUUAAUGAAAAGUCAUCGCUCUAAGGAUCUAUUCAUGUUCAUCAGCUAGAUGCAUGCUUAAGUGAUGAAGUUUUAAUAGAUCCAAGUCAAGACUCGAGUUCCCAGUGACUAAUCAAGUCUCAAGAAAUGGAAACUGAUAUAUAAUGAAAAUACCUGAUCUCACAAGAAGUCACUGGCAUCACCUCUUCCCCAAAGAUGGAGAAGAAAAGCGUUCCAAAAAAACACAAAGUCACCAUCGCAAAAAUUCUCAAACACUAACUCCAAUAAGAAUACCGCAGAAUCUGGCGGCUCUACCUCUACCUCACGGUUGCACAAGAAACGAAAAGAGCAAGACAGAGACCAUGAUGGUAAUUCAAGGAGAGAAUCAGAAACUGAGUCUUCAUCAAGCCUUCAGUCUUGAGACCCUCCUAGCAGAUCAUCUGCUUUUGAUAGCUUACAAAGAUAGAAGAGGGAGGGUCUGGUUAAGCUAAUUAACAUCUAGAAGAGGAUUGCUUGAAUCGCUCCAUCUAGGUGGCGGCGACAAGUUUCAUCAACUAACAACUGAGAAACUAACAACGCUGACUCCGAGACCGCCGGUGGUUUCACGUUGUUGAUUGACCUUCAGCCUACACAAGCAGUGGAGCUUCUCUAUCUCACUGAUUCAUUGUCGUCUUCUCAAGCGUCGGCCAACGGCGUAGAUGUCUCUCCGCUGCCGCUUCACUCUUACUGGACAUUGACUUUCUCUCCUAACUCAGCCCACCUGGAUCGAGCAGCAGCAAAACGGAAACGUCUCCGGUGCGCUACUACUAGCUCGGCGAGUGAUGUUACGGAGGAUCUGGUUCUGUACUAUAUAUAGGCGACUGAUGUUGCGGAGGUAACGGUUCAGUUAAGGCAGGUGAUUAUUCCUAGGCUGAAUAAUUAGGUGAAGUGUAAUUCUUUUAAGGCGAAGUCGGUGGGAAUGGUUUUGAGCGGAAGCAUGAUUGGUGCUGGUGGAGCUACAGUGAGCUCCUGUGGAUUGAACUGGCUAGUGGAUUGCUUAGUUAGCUUCUUGAGUAGUGAAGAUUGGGCGGCGAGGAAAGCAGCAGCCGAAGCCUUUCGGAGGUUAGCCACGGCGGAAAGAAAUGAUUUUCGAGAAAGUCUUUGAAGAUCUUCAAAAGCAAGAUAUACGACAAGGUUUUGUUUUAGUGUCUGAAUUGUCUGAAUUUAGGUUAAGUGGUGAUGAGCAGAGUAAGAGAUUGAUAGAAUCCCCUCAAACAAGUCACCCCCAUCCGGUGGAACAACAACAGCUGCACUGCACAACUGUGAGGGGAGAAAUCCAGGGGAAGACCAGGUUCAAGUUGCAGGAAACACCCCCAAAAAGAGCCACAUAGCGCAAUCACGUGGAGCAACUAUUUCUCUUUAGUUUCAUUGCAAUGUUUUUUCCCAAAUAUUCUCAAAACUUUUUUCGUUGAACCAGUUUGCAUCUUAGCUAUUUUUUUUUGAUCAACCAUGUUUGCAUCUUAGCUAUUAAUAAAUACUUAAUCUAUACUUCUAUAGAGACAUGUUGCUUUCAUUUGUAUA